GUGCUCACUUUGCAGCACAUGUUCUAAAACUGGACUGAUGGCAGAAAAGAUUAGCAUGACCCCUGACAGUGAUGAUAUGCAAAUUCAUGAGAUGUUCCAUAUUCAG
ensembl:snRNA U6 U6 spliceosomal RNA